GAUGGUAGGAAGAAGAUACACCGGUAUUCAUGGGAAUGGUUAACGACACCAAAAGCUCUUGGCGGAAUGGGUUUCCGUGACAUGGCACUUUUUAACCAAGCUAUGCUCAGCAAGCAAGGUUGGCGUCUCAUCACAGAGCCCGGUUCUUUAUGUACAAGGGUACUUAAAGGGAGAUACUACCCUCAGGGUGAAUUCUGAACUGUGACAACACCGUGAUCAGCUUCCUUUACAUGGCCGAGUAUUUUGCAUGGACGUGAGCUCUUAAAACAAAGAAUUUGUUGCGGCAUUGUUAACGGUAAGCGAACCCGGAUUCUUGCUGAUCAUUGGAUUCCUUCAAUACCUCCGAGUAUGCUUAACCCAAUUUCUCCAAUUCCAACCAAAGCAAUAGUUCAAUGUUUAAUUCACGAGGCUUCAGGCACAUGGAAUAAUGAAACCAUGCAUGCUAUGUACUACUCGGAGCAGUUAGAUUUACGUGCGUUUCCAAAAUAG
rnacentral:rRNA from 1 species